rnacentral:tRNA from 1 species
GAGGGUAUAGCUCAGUGGUAGAGCACAUGCCUAGUGUGGAUGAGGUCCUGGUUCAAUCCCCAGUACCUCCA